AUAGCUAAAAGGGAAUCGGCGGCUAGAAAGUGGGUGAUAAGGGUUUUAUAUGCCGGAGCAGCCUCUUUAAAUUUAAGCUCGACGCACAUAAAGGAAGUUCCCAAGUGCGUUUCCAGACUCACAAACCUGUCAGUCCUCCUGUUAAACAACAACUCCAUCACAGGCCUUCCCACUGAGCUGCUCUCCUUACAUCAAGUGGCUUCAAGAACCUUGUCCUCAAUCUGAACCACAACCAGAUUCACAGACUUCCGCCAGGGAUUAAAAGCGUGCUGGACAAUAAGCUGGAGGAAGUUCCUGCAAAGCUUGGUCAUCUCACUCGCUUGUCUGAGAUAAACCUAAACUUCAACAAGCUGUCCUGGCUUCUUCGGCAGCUGUACCAGUGCAAAGAGCUGACAAAGCUGUAUAUGCAGCCAGAAACUACUUGACCAGCCUACCAGAGGAGGGUUCUCAUAAAAUCCCACACCAGUUACCUGUUGAGUUUUCCAUGUUU